rnacentral:rRNA from 1 species
GAUGAACGCUGGCGGCGUGCCUAAUACAUGCAAGUCGAGCGAACAGAUGAGGAGCUUGCUCCUCUGACGUUAGCGGCGGACGGGUGAGUAACACGUGGAUAACCUACCUAUAAGACUGGGAUAACUUCGGGAAACCGAGCUAAUACCGGAUAAUAUAUUGAACCGCAUGGUUCAAUAGUGAAAGACGGUUUUGCUGUCACUUAUAGAUGGAUCCGCGCCGCAUUAGCUAGUUGGUAAGGUAACGGCUUACCAAGGCAACGAUGCGUAGCCGACCUGAGAGGGUGAUCGGCCACACUGGAACUGAGACACGGUCCAGACUCCUACGGGAGGCAGCAGUAGGGAAUCUUCCGCAAUGGGCGAAAGCCUGACGGAGCAACGCCGCGUGAGUGAUGAAGGUCUUCGGAUCGUAAAACUCUGUUAUUAGGGAAGAACAAAUGUGUAAGUAACUAUGCACGUCUUGACGGUACCUAAUCAGAAAGCCACGGCUAACUACGUG